AUGGUGAACCAGACAGGCCGGCAGCUGAAGGAGGGGACUGUGAUGGCGCCUGUGGUGACCGCCGCACUGGGCGCGUUGGGUCCUCUUCUAGCAAAGCUUGCAGAUCUGCUUGCCAAAGAGUGUGGCCGGCUGAAAGGUGUGCGCCGUGAGAUACGCUCCCUCCGGUCUGAGCUCUUCAGCAUGCAUGGUGCGCUUAAAAGCUAUGCCAAGCUAGAGGAUCCUGAUGAUCAGGUGAAGGAAUGGAUGUCGCUCGUGAGGGAGCUGGCCUAUGAUACCGAGGAUUGCUUCGACAAGUUCAUCCGCAAGCUCGGCGAUGGUGGGCGUCAUGAUGCCGGCUUAAAGGAAUUCUUCCGCAAGACGGCUCGCCAUCUAAAAACCCUUGGAGCUCGGCAUGGAAUCGCCUACCAAAUCGACGACCUUAAGCUUCGUAUCAAGGAGGUGAAGCAACUCAAGACUAGCUACAAGCUCGAUGAUGUUGCUGGUAGCACCUCUGGCAAUGCAGCCGUGGAUCCCCGACUAGCUGCUCUUUUUGCUGAGGAGGCACACCUUGUGGGUGUUGACGGUCCAAGAGAUGAUCUUGCAAAGUGGGUUAUGGAAGAUGGAAACAAGCAUAGUCGCAAGGUGUUAUCUAUUGUUGGGUUUGGUGGAUUGGGAAAGACAACGCUGGCAAAUGAGGUCUAUCGCAAGAUUCAAGGGCAUUUUGAUUGUCAUGCUUUUGUGUCAGUCUCCCAAAAGCCAGAUAGAAAGAAAAUUAUCAAGGAUGUGAUCUCCCAAGUUUCUUACAGCGAUGAAUUCAAGAAAGAUAUGGAGAUUUGGGAUGAAAAGAAAUCCAUUUCAAAGCUAAGAGAACUUCUACAAGAAAAAAGGUAUCUUGUUAUCAUUGAUGAUAUAUGGUCUAUAGUGGCAUGGAAUGCUAUCAAUUGUGCAUUUCCAGAGAACAGCUGUUCUAGCAGAAUUGUAGCUACUACACGCAUAUUGGAAGUAGCUAGCUCUUGUUGUCCAGGUCCUGAUGACCAGAUCUAUGAAAUGAAACCUCUAAGUGACCCUCACUCUGAAAGACUAUUUUUCAGAAGAAUCUUUGGCUCAGAGAAUUGCUUCCCUCACAUGUUUCUUGAAGUUUCAAAAGCUAUCUUGAAAAAGUGUGGAGGCCUACCAUUGGCGAUUAUCAGUAUUUCUGGUCUACUAGCUAACAGACCACGUCUCAAAGAAGAGUGGGAGAAGGUGAAAAGAUCAAUUGGUUCUGACUUGAACAGAAACCAGAGUCUAGAGGGAAUGAAAAACAUACUGUCCUUGAGCUAUAAUGAUCUUCCACCAAACCUCAAGACUGUCUUGUUGCACUUAAGUAAUUUCCCCGAGGAUUAUGUGAUUGACAGAGAAAGGUUGGUGAGGCAAUGGAUUGCGGAAGGCUUUAUUUCUGAAGAGCGUGGGAGGAGCUGUCAAGAGGUUGCAGAAAGUUAUUUUUACGAGCUUAUCAAUAAAAGCCUGGUCCAACCAGUGAACAUUCGUUAUGAUGGGAAGGUGCAGGCCUGUCGAGUUCAUGACAUGAUGCUUGAACUUAUCAUUUCAAAAUCCAUUGAAGAAAAUUUCAUCACUGUGGUGAACGGCAGUCAAACUGUUUGGGGAAAUUCGCAGUGUUCUAUUCGACGUUUAUCGAUCCAGGACAUUGACCAGGAGCUUGCAUUUGAAUUGGUAAAGAAAGACCUAAGCCAUGUCCGAUCUCUUAUAAUAACAGCACCAGGUUGCGUUAAACACUUGCCUAGUCUUACUAAGUUUGAAACUUUACGUGUACUAGAUUUUGAAGGUUGUGAGGACCUGGUAGAGGAUGAUAUGAAUGGUAUGGAAAACCUUUUCCAGCUAAAGUACCUAAGCUUUAGGAGAACGGACACACAGGAGCUACCAUCUGGAAUUGUGAUGCUGCAUGAUCUAGAGACGCUGGAUUUAAGGGGUACAUCAGUCAAAGACUUACCGGCAAGAAUUGUUCAGCUCACUAAACUACAACAUCUACUCGGUGACAGAUAUGAGAAGAAGAUACCAAUCAGAUAUGAGAAGAAGAUACCAAUCGGGAUUGGGAAUAUGACAAACUUAAGGGAGAUCUCAGGCUUUGAUAUUACCAUGAGUUCAGUAGGUGCAGUAGAGGAGCUAGGGAGCCUGAUCAAUUUGAAGGUACUCCAUUUAGGGUUCACGGUGAAAGGUGCAGAAUCUCAAGAGUACAAGAGUCAUGCAGAGAUGUUUCAUUCCUCACUAUGCAAGCUUGGCAGCUACAAACUCCAGUCCGUGCACAUAGAUGGUGGUAAUUCAGCUCCAUUCGAGUUAUUAGAUUCCUGGUCUCCUCUUCCAUCUUGCCUCCAAAGAUUUGAGAUGGGCACCAUGUACUGUUUAUCAAAACUGCCAAAGUGGAUUACUCCGGCACUCACCAGUCUUGCAUGCCUGGACAUUAAUUUAAGUGUAAUAACAGAGGAGGUUCUUGGCAUCCUUGGAGAGCUGUCUGCAUUACUUUGUCUGAAACUUUCUACCGACACGGUCCAUAAAGACAGGCUUGUUUUGCAAGGCAGAGGAUUCCCAUGUUUGAAGGAGUUCGUUUAUGAACCUUUUGGUGAAGGUGCAGGGAUCCUUCUGUUUGAGGAAGGGGCACUGCCAAAGCUCGAGAAGCUUAGGCUGUGGUUAUUUGUGUCAAUGGCAAAGGCCUAUGGGUUCUACUUAGGUAUUGAUCACCUCCCGUAUCUGAAAGAUGUACUAGUUAUUCUUCAGAAGCGGGAUGCCACAUCUCCUGAAGUUGAGGCUGCUGCAGCUGCCAUAAGGAAGGAAGCAAAUCUCCAUCCCAACCAUCCCAUGUUAAAUCUCAUAUUAAGAAAUGAAAAAGUGACACGAGGGAUACUGUUCUCCAGAAUAUAG
rnacentral:rRNA from 1 species